UCUCUAACUAGUGACCUUUACGGAACAUGAUAUUGUGACCCUUCAAAUUAUGAUAAUGAUGACAACUUAAGAAUGCCUUUUGUCUUCAAAAUAACCAUUAACAGUCUUAUUUUAGUGUUAAAGUACGCCUUCAAGUGUAUUUGUGAUCUUGUGGUAAACAUUUUGUAACCUUUUUAACUUUUUUUUUUUAAUUUUGUUAGUGAACUUCUGCUAUGCAUUUGGUGCUCGUAUCAUAUUUUGAUUUGUACUCAUCCAAUCAAUUUGAUUCUUGCACCUUUAAAGUCUAAUUAAAUUACCUAAACUCUUAUGUUCAGG
rnacentral:lncRNA from 1 species